ACAACAGCGUCAGUGCUUCCUUUAUAUAUAUAUCCUUAGGGGGAAAAAAAGAAAAAAGAAAAAGAAAAAGAAAUAGAAGAAGAAGAAGAAGAAGAAGUUAUAAUUGGAAUACACCGAAGACUAAUGGAGAGGGAUAAACACCACAGCUGGACAGGACGUCACUCUGACAUGUCGAGCUCCAAACAACAACAACAUCAUUGUUGUAGAGUGGAGCAGAGCUGACCUGGAGUCAGAAUAUGUUCUUUUGUAUCAGGAUGGUCACUUUGUUCCAGAUUACCAGCAUCCAUCUUUUAAGAACCGGGUGGAUCUGCAGGACAGACAGAUGAAGGAUGGAGACGUUUCUUUGAUUCUAAAGGAUGUGACGAUUAAUGACACUGGAACAUAUGAGUGUCGUGUUGCCCAGAGAAAAGCAAACCGCAAGAAGAGAGCUCAUCUGAAGACUGACCCCAUCAGCAUCAUGUACCUGAGAGUUGUUGAUCCUCCAGGUCAGACAGGAGGACACACAGAGGAUGGAGGGAAGGAGGAUGGAGGGAAGGAGGAUGGAGGGAAGGAGGAUGGCGUUAAUAGACAUUAUGGGCUGAUAGCUGGUCUGAUUUUUGUUGCUGCUGUUGUUGGUUUUUUGAUCUACAGAGCACAUCAACAACAGAAUCAAGAUUCAUUUCAGCCUCCAGGUGAAUAGCAGCCUUGUUGUUACUACUGAAGUCUUCAUGACUGAGACUGUACUUGACAUCAGUCUCAGUCAUGUAACCUUGAAUUUUGAUGAUAAGUUCAGAGCUAGCUGGGAGCUUUGUCAUCUGUUUUGUUUUUAGGUGAUGAGGCAGAAAAUUUCAAAUCAGUUUCCUAUUUCAGUCCUAAAAUCAGUGAAUUAUGACCCUGUGAUCAAAUGAAUGUGUUAUUUCUGUCAGAUUCUAUUAUUGUCUAAUCUCAGAGGUUAAACUGAAGUCCACAAGUGUUUAAUGUGAUUGUGGAGCACUCUGACAGAACUUGAAACAUUGUGUAUUUAUUUGUAACUAUUUAUAUAUAAUAUAUACAUGUAACUAUUUAUAUAGUAUUUAUAUAUUCACAAAAGCACACAUUUCUUCUCAGCUAUUGUCAAGUGUUUAGUCUUACUUUACUUUGUACUGUACUUUACUCUUAACUCUGAAGUGCCCUGAGCUGUCGUGGUCCUCAGUAUAGAGAAGCAGGUAUAAGGGCUUCCUGGGUCCCACAGACAAAAAAGAAUAAACAAAUUAAAUUGCUGCACAUUUUUUCUGACACACGCACCGGAGCAUCAGCUUCAAAAGGGCCGUUACUAGUUUCUAGUUUUUGCAUUUGAGAUUUCAGUUUGUUUUUGUAAGUCUAUUUUCGAUGAAGAGUUUUCCCCCCCAGCAAUAAAGCUGUGCUUUUAGUUCAUCCUUCUCUCCGUGAGUCUUGCAUUUGGGUCUUUUCUCCUUCCUGCCACACAGCACAUCAGGCCAUGAGCUGACCCAUGCUGUGGUUUUUACACUGUAAAAGAAAUAGUUACUUAACUGAUUCUUGUGAUUUGUAAUCAGAUGAAGUGUUUUGUAAGUAUCUGAAGGUAUCCUGUAACUUAAGCUGACAGAUUUGUGCAGUAUUGGCUCUAAAAUGACUUAUUGUAUGAAAUCAAGGAUCUAUGCUUUUGUUUAUGUUCAGAAUUCUUACACAAAAUGUGUUUGAUUGAUUCUAUAAAUGGAUGAAGAUGUUUUGAAUGUUUGAUCAGACUUUGAAUGAAAUUUUUA